AGUGAACGCUGGCGGUAGGCCUAACACAUGCAAGUCGAACGGCAGCACAGUAAGAGCUUGCUCUUACGGGUGGCGAGUGGCGGACGGGUGCGGAAUACAUCGGAAUCUACUUUUUCGUGGGGGAUAACGUAGGGAAACUUACGCUAAUACCGCAUACGACCUACGGGUGAAAGCAUCGGAUCUUCGGACCUUGCGCGAUUGUAUGAGCCGAUGUCGGAUUAGCUAGUUGGCGGGGUAAAGGCCCACCAAGGCGACGAUCCGUAGCUGGUCUGAGAGGAUGAUCAGCCACACUGGAACUGAGACACGGUCCAGACUCCUACGGGAGGCAGCAGUGGGGAAUAUUGGACAAUGGGCGCAAGCCUGAUCCAGCCAUACCGCGUGGGUGAAGAAGGCCUUCGGGUUGUAAAGCCCUUUUGUUGGGAAAGAAAAGCAGCAGGUUAAUACCCCGCUGUUCUGACGGUACCCAAAGAAUAAGCACCGGCUAACUUCGUG
rnacentral:rRNA from 1 species